rnacentral:rRNA from 1 species
GACGAACGCUGGCGGCGUGCUUAACACAUGCAAGUCGAACGGUGAAGCUCCAAGCUUGCUUGGGGUGGAUCAGUGGCGAACGGGUGAGUUACACGUGAGUAACCUGCCCCGGACUCUGGAAUAAGCGCUGGAAACGGCGUCUAAUACUGGAUAUGACAUCAAGCCGCAUGGUUAUGGUGUGGAAAGUUUUUCGGUCCGGGAUGGGCUCGCGGCCUAUCAGCUUGUUGGUGAGGUAAUGGCUCACCAAGGCGACGACGGGUAGCCGGCCUGAGAGGGCGACCGGCCACACUGGGACUGAGACACGGCCCAGACUCCUACGGGAGGCAGCAGUGGGGAAUAUUGCACAAUGGGCGAAAGCCUGAUGCAGCGGCGCCGCGUGAGGGAUGACGGCCUUCGGGUUGUAAACCUCUUUCAGCAGAGAAGAAGCGAAAGUGACGGUACCUGCAGAAGAAGCACCGGCUAACUACGUGCCAGCAGCCGCGGUAACAC